rnacentral:lncRNA from 1 species
CCCAAAUCUGCCCAGAGGAAAUGGUCCUGUUUCUGCAGUCACAGCUGGGUGGUGAAAGGGAGGCUGGAUGUGUGGCAGCCCUGGAUCUGCUCAGUGCUCUGGCUUGCUCUGAUGAGCUUGUGAUGACAAAGAAGCUGCCCCAGGUUGCAGAGGCUGUGCAGCAUCUGUGCAGUGACGCCAGGACCCAGGUGAGGAGGGCCAUUCUGCAUUUCAUCAAUGAUCUGCUCAGUGCUAACACCCAGAGCUGCUCAGAUGGGAUGUGGUGGAGCACAUCUUCAGUGAGUUCAGCUGCACCAUGGGAAGAAGGGCAGUCGGAGACCAUUCUGCCCAGGAAGCCCAAGAAGGAGCUCUCCAAGAGCUGUGAAUGGACAUCCUGGGGUCACUGGAUGUCUCUGUGAGAGGGAUCUCCAAAGUUUCUCCUCCAAAGUGCUCUGAAGAACCCGAGACUCAGGGAAAUUCACAGAGUCCUCUUCAUCUCUGAGUGGAGGCAGGAAUGCUGAUAUGCUCGGCCUUGUUCCUUGUGGCCAUGGUUGCUGCUGUUUGUGGUGCCAGCCCAGUACAUGGGCAUGCUGAUGCUGGUCUCCCACUGUGUCCGAGUCCUGUCUGUGAGAGAGGACCUGACAGGGCAGGAGAUAGAAGAACUGGAUCCCCAUUUCCUCAGCUCCAUGUUUCAAGGCCCACUGCUGACUCCCCAGACACUGCUGGCACACCUGUUCGUUAGGAGAUGCUCCAGAGGCCGGUGCCAUGAGCCCCAAGGAGGAAACAGCAUGGCUGAGCAUGCCAGCACCUGCCUCAUUCCUGGGGAUGCUGUUCUCUUCCCUGGCUUGCAGCACCAUGGGCAAAGCUGUUGGCUGCUCCUUGCCCACCAGGGCAGAGCCAAGCUGCUUCCCUCCUGGGGGGAAGACACUGCUCUUGCUGCAAAGUGACCCUGCUUCUCCUUGCUCUUGCUCAGGUGGUGGCAGGGAGCACUGUUGCAGGCAGAGAACUCCAAGCUGGUGUCUUACUGCUCAUACAAAACCUCUACAGCAAGAUCCACAGAGCUGUGGGGGCCAUAUGAGCUGCUGAGAUCCCCCUGCUGCUGCAGUGCCUUGAAGUUCCUGAGGGCGUCUCUGGAAACCAUGGAGGAUGAGGCCUGGACCGAGGCCCUGAGCUGUGAGCUGAGCCGGUGGCUGAGCAGCUCUCCCAGCAGCUCUGGAGAAAAGUCUUUCCUGUACAAGGCUCUGGGGACAGCACUGGGAGCUUGUAAAGGAGACCUCC